ensembl:lncRNA
CGCCACUUCUUUAUCACAUCAUCAAGGAACACUUUGAAGCAUUUGGCUCGAUAUCACGCCGUAUAUCUGCUUUCACUCUUCACAAGCCAAAGUGUGGACACGUUUUUUUAUACUUCGUUGCAUGGGUCCAGGGGUAUCAAACAUGUGGUCUGGAGCACAGAAGCGGCCAGUCACAGUGUCCAAUCUGAACCAUUACAACUGUCGGAGGGGCUUUUUCAACCCAGGUACGUGAUCCAUGGUCCAAUCAGCAGCCCACUGCACUUCAGUAGAGGAACAACCUGCAGAAAUUCUUAAAACACAGGACAAAACACAAGCAGCUAACACAGACUUCUUAUGGCAACUGUUGGGAGAAAGAAGUGAUGAAAUAGAUGUCGGCUUUCUCACCCAACCAUGGACAUGCCGUUGGAAAGCUGACAGCUCACAGAUUCUGAUGACGGGUCUACACUUUGUGUUUACGUCUUUUUUUGCGCUAGAUUCUGAAGCUGCAGGUCUUAUCACUCUCCAACCAAAAUUAACUGAACCAGCAGCAAAAGAAGAUCCCAACUACAUUUCACAAUUCGCGUCACAUAAACACCGUCAUGAAUUCCCUACGUUAAGAAGUGGCUCGGCCUUCCAAAAUGCCUCCGCAGCGCUAGACUCUACAGCGACGGGAUACUGUCAUUGCCCAUUGCUAGUCUGGUAGAGGAGUUUAAAUGUGCAAAAGUGAGGCUUGAGAUGUCACUCAUGGACUCCCGGGACCCCAUAGUGAGAGGCACUGCUCCCACCUUGGAAAGGGGAGGAAGUGGACUCCAGCCACAUCUGUGCUACAGGCCAAAUCUGCUCUUCGCCAUCAUGACGUGGUGGGUCACAUCCAACAGGGCAGAGGAGGAUUUGGUCUUGGAACAGUAACACCUCUGUGGCAACAGGCAUCCGUAACCAAACGUCGGAAAAUGGUGAUGGUGGAGGUGCGUCAACAGGAGGAAACAGCCAGACAUGCCAGAGCCGUAGCGCUGGCCAAGCAGGGUCACUGGAUGAAUUGGGAGAGUGUUGAAAAGAGGAACUCUCAUGGAGUGAAAUCUGAGGAAUGGAGUCUAAUAGACUAAGUUUCAUCAUCUGAGCGACAUACGAUGUGCUACCUUCCCCAAUAAAUCUGCAGCUGUGGUUUGGAAAGGACCCAUCCUGCCCCCUGUGUACAGUCCCAGCAAUACUCAAGCACAUCUUGGUUGGUUGUAGGACUAGCCUUACUCAGGGCAGAGACACAUGGAGACACAACCAGGUCCUCAGGUGUCUAGCCAAGAAAGUUGAGUGCAAGAGAAAAUCCAUCAACACUCAACCUUUCACAAACCAAGAGGAUCGUCGGCCUUCAUCAACAUUUGUCCGGGAGGGAGACAAGCCGAGGACAAGCCCCUCAACCCCGGACCUGGGCCCGCUGAAGGUUGCCAGGGAUUGGUAGAUGCAAGUGGACUUGGAUCAGAGGCUAAUGUUUCCCUCAAACAUCGUAACAACUACUCUGAGACCAGACCUCAUCCUUUGGUCCAACUCCCGAAAACUUGCGUACGUCAUUGAGCUGACGGUACCAUGGGAGGAAGCAAUUGAGCGUAAGAAGCUGCGGUAUGCCAACUUGGCAGCUGAGGCAGAGAACAGAGGCUGGAAGAUCAAGGUGCGCCCAGUGGAAGUGGGGUGCAGGGGCUUUGUUGCCAGUACAACAGCAAAACUGCUUAGAGAGAUUGGGAUCAGAGGACAGCGCAAUGGCAGGCUAUAAGAGAAUUAGCUAACACUGCUGAAAGGACCAGUCACUGGCUAUGGUUAAAAAGGGCUGACAUCACUUUGGCAGCUAAGGCAGUCAGCUAACCGCGGCACACAUGCCCAGGAUGGAUCAUCCCGUGGAGGGCAUGCCUAAGUAGAGGGCUCUUCUUCUCUUUCCUGGGAGGCAGUGGGGAGGUAGAGCGUACAGCCUGAUCUGGCGGAGAGGUAUGGGAAGCCAGAUUGGGCGCCCCCCUUCCGGCUCUCCUCUCUGCUCUCUCCUAUCUUGUCUCUUUUGUUUUACUUCUCUCCAUCACCUUUUCUAUCCCUUUAAAGAAGUGAGCCUCCAUAAAUGUUAAAGAGGUAAGUAUUACUUGUCAGUAGCAAGGAAUUGAUAGAAGAAAAUAAAUUGUAGAAAACUAAACAGAAGAAAGAAGAGAAAAAACAAUUUAACAUAAACCAGUGACACACUCCAGGGCCUGAUCAACCCUGGCAGAGCCUCCUUGGAUGAGGGUGUCUAGUGAUAAAGGCCGAAACACCUGAUGAUUCCAAGGUCCACUACUGACGAUGUGUCCCAAAAUUGAAUAUGAUAAUCUAGAUCAGAUCUCUAAUCCCUACACAUAACCAAGGAAGGUUAAAAAAUGGCAGAUUAGCCUGGGUAAAAGACCAAAAAACCCUGUUAAGUUCAGGCAUACAACGAUGUGUCCUGCUGGUAAAGUUUAUGGGCUGCCUUUCCUCAUAACAGCCAUCCCUCAAGACUUUCUCUAUUCGAAGCAGUGCAUUAUCAGGGAUUGUAACAUCUAGUCCUUUUACUGAACCACCACAAUAAAAUCCCACUUCCUGCUGAGCUCUCUCUCUCUCAGUGUACUUCAAGAACAGUUUCCCAUCUAAACAUCUCUCUUUUCUGCAUUAUUCGCUUGCUUAUUCCACACCAGUCUACCUUUGUGUACAGCACUGUUGGCCGCUGUUUUUUUUUAUUUUUAUUUAACUGUCUUCUUCUACUGCAGAAUAGUUUUUAGGUUAUCUGCUUUAAAAAGCCAGGCCAGGAAAAUCUCCUUCAUCUUUGUCUGUGUUUUAUGUUCAGUUACUUUGACGCAAAGGCAUCUGCUGUGAUGCUUACACCUCUGAUGAAGUGUCAC